GAGUUAUAGUCUUUAAAAUUAAAAAAUUUGGCGGUAUUUUAGUCUUUUCAGAGGAACCUGUUCAGUAAUUGAUAAUCCACGAUUAGAAUUACUUAUGUUAAUAAUUUGUAUAUCAUUGUAGUUGAAUAUUUUAAAAGAAUUUUAAUAUUCAAAAUUUUUUAUUAAAAAAUAAAUCAGAUCAAGAUGCAGUUUAUAUAUAAGAUGAAAUGGGUUACAAUAAAGAUAUUUUUGGAAAUAUAGUUUAGAAUUAUUUUUGAAAUUGGAUUUGAAAGUAAUUUAGUUGAUUUAAAUUAAAUGA
rnacentral:rRNA from 1 species